rnacentral:rRNA from 1 species
UACAGAGGGUGCGAGCGUUGUCCGGAAUCACUGGGCGUAAAGGGCGCGUAGGUGGCGACCCAAGUCGAUGGUGAAAGCUCGCCGCUCAACGGCGAGUCGGCCACCGAUACUGGGUUGCUCGAGCACUGUAGAGGCUAAUGGAAUUCCGGGUGUAGCGGUGGAAUGCGUAGAGAUCCGGAAGAACACCGGUGGCGAAGGCGGUUAGCUGGGCAGUUGCUGACACUGAGGCGCGACAGCGGGGGGAGCAAACAGG